ensembl:snRNA U6 U6 spliceosomal RNA
UAGCAUAUAUGCUCAUAUGCUAAAAUUGGAAUGAUACAGAGAUUAGCAUGGUCCCUGAACAGGGAUGACACACAAAUUCAUAAUGCAUUCUUUUGUUUG